rnacentral:rRNA from 14 species
GUAAUUGAGGGUAGUACGAGAGGAACUGCUCAUUCGGAUAAUUGGUAUUUGCACCUGUCCGAUCGGGCAAUGGUGCGAAGCUAUCAUCCGCUAGAUUAUGGCUGAACGCCUCUAAGUCAGAAUCUGUACUAGAAACGAUGAUGUUGGUCCCGCACAUGUUAGUUGUGUUUAAAUAGAGCUUCGG